GAUGAAGAACGUAGCGAAAUGCGAUAAGUAAUGUGAAUUGCAGAAUUCAGUGAAUCAUCGAAUCUUUGAACGCACAUUGCGCCCCUUGGUAUUCCGGGGGGCAUGCCUGUCCGAGCGUCAUUACAACCCUCAAGCUCAGCUUGGUGUUGGGCCCCGCCGCCCCGGCGGGCCCUAAAGUCAGUGGCGGUGCCGUCCGGCUCCGAGCGUAGUAAUUCUUCUCGCUCUGGAGGUCCGGUCGUGUGCUCGCCAGCAACCCCCAAUUUUUUUCAGGUUGACCUCGGAUCAGGUAGGGAUACACGCUGAACUUAAGCAUAUCAAUAAGCGGAGGA
rnacentral:misc_RNA from 1 species